AAAGAAAGGAUUCAAAGAACCGAUCUCAAGGAGUCGACUCUUUCAUGAAUGAAUCACCGCUGGCUACCUGUUACCUCUUCAGAAAAGACGCCAAAGAUGACUUGACGCACGGAUUCGCGUUCCUGCAGCGUCUCGAUGGGAUCGUCACCACGUACCGCACGCCACCGUUACAAGACAUGAGACAGCAGCAGCGAUUUAUAUGCACACCACCGGUGUUUGAACUGCAAGAAACUGCGCUGCAUGUUAAGAAAUUGGCCGUUCUCUAAAUCAGUAAUUCGCUGUUUGAACGGUAAGAAAAACACCCUCCUGACGACGUAUCAUGGAAGCGAAAGACUACAGUCAUUUUGUGGAUGGAUAUUUAUACACAAACACGAAAGGAAACCAGAGAAUGGUAAAGAAAGCUACUGACUGAUUCUCCAGGGACAGCAUGUUUACAUCUGCCAAUGUUCUCACUACUGAGUCUGCCAGAUUCAAUAUGCUACCACCAAAAUAUGACAUUUACAGCAUAUGACAGAUGAUGCUAUCCAGAGCAACUUACAGAAAUGUCUUGUAGUGUCCAUCAGUGCCACACUCGUUCAAGUACAAUCCAGUAAGGACCUAAGAAUACUAACAUGCUACUAAAUGCUCAUGUAAAUAUUUAUUUGUAAGUUAAUUAAGACUCUGCUUGUUAUUUCUCCAUGAUCAGUUGACUGUUGUUGCACAGAUGCCAUAAAAUUACUCCAGAAAUGCCCUAAAGCAGUGGUUCCCAACCUGGGGUCCGCCAGAGUUCACAGGAGGGUCACGGGAGCUUAUAUGAUUUGAGGUCAAAUAAAGAUGCAUAAAAUGUUCCACUAAUAGUUUUAUAUAAAAAUAUUUUUGUAUGUUUUUUUAAAAAAAAAAAAAUCAUGUGCUUACAAUAAGGCAGUCAAAAAACAGUUAUCUCUUCUAUAAAAUAUUAUUAACGAUUCUCUUUUACACUAGCCAAUUGCGUUCACGUUCCAAGCUGGAAGGACCGUCAUUGGCUGUUGUCGGUUCAGAUAACGUGUGUGUCAACACAAUAUCCAAAUCAAAUGGAAAAAAUGUCAGAGAAACGAAAAUGCGGUGAUUUUUCAUCAGAUGUGAAGAAAAAGUUUAGACACUAUGACAAAACCUACUUAAAUUUCGGUUUUAUUGAAGGUCAAGACAAGUCCCGGCCAGAAUGUGUGUUCUGUGGUGAAAAAUUGGCAAACGACAGCAUGAAACCAAGCAAAUUGAAAAGACACCAGGAAACGAAGCAUCCAGAGACAAUCGGUAAAGAUCAGGUAUUCUUCGAGAGAAAAAAAAGAGAUGGCUCUAUCAAAAAGACCGACAGACAGAAGAAAGGUAUUCGAAAGAGCAGGUAAUGAUUAUACUGUAUACGUGUACAUGUGUGAGUAGCAUAUUAUAUAUAUAUAUAUGCUACUCACACACACAUAU